rnacentral:rRNA from 1 species
GAUCCUGGCUCAGGACGAACGCUGGCGGCGCGCCUAACACGUGCAAGUCGAACGAGCGAGAGAGAGCUUGCUUUCUUGAGCGAGUGGCGAACGGGUGAGUAACGCGUGAGGAACCUGCCUCAAAGAGGGGGACAACAGUUGGAAACGACUGCUAAUACCGCAUAAGCCCACGACCCGGCAUCGGGUAGAGGGAAAAGGAGCAAUCCGCUUUGAGAUGGCCUCGCGUCCGAUUAGCUAGUUGGUG